GACGAACGCUGGCGGCGUGCUUAACACAUGCAAGUCGAACGGAAAGGCCCUGCUUUUGUGGGGUGCUCGAGUGGCGAACGGGUGAGUAACACGUGAGUAACCUGCCCUUGACUUUGGGAUAACUUCAGGAAACUGGGGCGAAUACCGGAUAGGAGCUCCUGCUGCAUGUGGGGGGUUGGAAAGUUUCGGCUGUUGGGGCUGGAUUCGCGGCUUAUCAGCUUGUUGGUGGGGUAGGGGCUUACCAAGCCUUUGACGGGUAGCCGGCCUGAGAGGGUGGCCGGCCACCAUGGGACUGCGAUACGGACCAGAAUCCUACGGGCGGCAGCAGUGGGGAACAUUGCACAAUGGGCGGAAGCCUGAUGCAGCAACGCCGCGUGCGGGAUGACGGCUUUCGGGUUGUAAACCGCUUUCGACUGUGACGAAGAGUGAGUGACGGUAAUGGGUAAAGAAGCACCGGCUAACUACGUG
rnacentral:rRNA from 1 species